GCUAUAUGUACGUCAGGGCUAAGACCGAAACCCUUUACAGAAUGAUGUUAAAAGUCCCUUUACUGUAAUACUUUUGCUUUCUCAGACCAGCCGUCCUGCAGGCAUGCAGACAACGGAAGCUCAGGAGCUCCGUUUAUUAAGGAUAAGGAAGCUGGCCGGGCGGUGGUGGCGCCGGCCUUUAAUCUCAGCACUCGGGAGACAGAGGCUGGCGGAUCUUUGUGAGUUUAAGGCCAACCUGUUCUACAAGCGCUAGUUCCUGGAGAGGCUCCAAAGCUACGAAGAAACCCUGUCUCGAAAAACAAAAUAGAAACAAAAAAAGGAUAAGGAAACUGAAAAGCAAGUUAACAUAAGAGUCUAAUAACUGACUGGAUUUCUCUUCCGUAUUGGGAAAUUGGGGAAAUGUCCCCCGUCCCAUUCAACCUACCCCAAAUCCGAUUCCGCAAGACUCAAUCCCUAUGUCAGCUGACUGAGGGUGAAGGAAGAAAUAUUGGCACCGAAUGAUCUGUCACAGACCGUGACAGGAUUACAGUAUUUCUCCAUGCAGCAUGGACAAGGACCACAUGCUCUGCAGGUCACAGUGACUUGCAUUCUCCUGGUAUGCCAUCUGGAUUCCUGGUUAACUCAGAACAAACAUGGGUUUCUCUGUGGCUUUGGAGCCUGUCCUGGAACUAGCUCUGUAGACCAGACGAAUGUGCUCUUACAGGGAGCCUGGCAGAGGUCGAAAAAUGACAUUGGAUCCCCUGGAACUGGAGUUAAAGACAGUUGUAUGCUGCCAGCACGAAUAAUAAAAACAGAAAGACAGAUAUUGGGUUCAGCCUGAAGAUCAGAAAAGCAAAGCAGCCAGCCACUAGAGAGACCUUUUACCUCUACCAAAUCUUCAGACUGAAGGAGCAAGAAAGAUCCUGUCUCCACAAAUCCUCAAACUCCACACUACACUGAGUUCCCCUGUCUUUCCUUUUUUUCCCUCUCUCCAGUCAGUCAUAUUGCUCCUUUCUCCACCUCCCUAGUGCUGAUUAAAGGCAUGGGAUUCCAAGUGCUGGGACCACCUUUGUAUGAGCUCUGAUUCUCCUUUAGACAGAGUCAGUCUUGUGGAGCUCGGGGUGGCCUUGAACAGACAGAGAUCCGUCAGUCUCCUGAGUCCUGAGAUUAAAGUGUAUGCCACCACUUCUGGCCUGUAUGGCAGACACGUUGAAACUCUUCUCGAAGCAGGAGUUACUUCUUCCAUGAAGAUGGGUUUUAGAGAUAGGCUGCAGGUGUUAUCAGGGCCUAGGGGAGGAUCUGGUGUAGUCUCAGUCACACAGAGAGCACAGAGGAUCUGGUGUAGUCUCAGUCACACAGAGAGCACAGAGGUCAUCCGGAUGAUUUGCCGCCCCUGGUCCUGGUUGUUGGAGCUUGGGGGAGCUCCUACCCCUAUGAAUAGAGCAAGGAUUAUCUGGGUUAUUAGCUACCCCCAUUCCCAGCCUUCUGUUCAGAAAUCAAUUAUACAUCUCUUCUACAGAAGAGAAAGCCCUGCGUGUUUAACAUUCCUGGUUUCCCUAAUGCUUAUCUGUGACCCAGGGGAUCUUUGUGCUCCCAGCACCUGUCCAGCUUUUACAGGGUCUCUCUCACGGAGCUUAGACUGGCCUUGAACUUAUCCCCUGCCUCAACUCUCCCCAAAUUCUGGCGUUAUA